UCUGCUCCCCGAGAGCAGCCCAGCGGCCAGGGGUGGCCCUGAGCGUGGGCAGGCGCUUCCCUGGGGUAGCUGCUGUGCUGCGGGCCUGCUCAGACCAGGGCUUUCAGGGCGUCCGGCCUGCUGGAUCCAGCCUAAGGAGGAUAGGAUCCAGCCUAAAGCCGGAGGAGGGCAAAGCUGCGGGCUGAGCACAUGGCCUCCUGAGCCCCAGUCUGGGCUCACAGGGAUGGGCUUUGGACCUGAUUGCAAGGGAGGAAUUCUGAAGAAUCCAAGUCCCCUUGUAAUGGUGUUGAACUGCAUUGUGUGGUCUGAACAGAGGAAACCACUGAGGGAGAUGGUUUAGCAAGUUCUCUGCCAAUUUAAACUGCAUCUCCAGUGGGGAAGCUGUCCCAGAAUAACUAUUCUACACAUCCUUUGCUCUGUGCAGCAGCCUCUGUCCUCUAAUCCAGUCCUCGUGAGUAGAGGUCAAAGUCCACGGUGAGCCGGGACCGUCAGUCCCACACACGAGUCAGAGGAUGGCACAGAGCCCUGUCACCCCUGUGAUCCGUCACGACUGAAGUGUUUCUCCCUCUGAGAUGCAACUCUUCUGACUUGAACAUCAAGUAGAUGGGUAAAUUCUGGCUUCGUUGUUCUGCAGUAUGUUGGGCUUCAGGGGCCAAAUGCUGCCAGGUGUGGGUGAGUUUGGUUAUGAACACCCCUGGAACUGCACAUCUGCCUGAGUGCUUUGCUAUGUUGGGCUUCUGGAAUGCAGAGCACUCUGCAAUAUUUGCCCUGCUUGAAAACAUUUUGGCAAAGCAAAAAAAAUGUUGCACGUACCUGAAAUAAGACCCCUUUCCAGUGUCUAGAACUACUGUAAUCUUGGUGUUUCCAAACUGUGUAUCUCAAGCAGGAGACGAGCACAAGAAAUCUUACAAAGCCAGCAUUUUUCGUUUUGCUAAUAGGUUAAAUGUGUAUUCUCAAGUUCUAACUUAACCUGAAACAUUUAUUGGAAAAGAAGGGUUUUUAAAGAGGAUUUGGAAGGAAAUUCUUUGUGCUUAGAAGAUCUGCGGAAUGGCUUCCAAAUUUACCUGCAGUUUAACAUGAACUCAAAACCCAUCUCGGGUCAGGGUCAGGUUCUCCAGAGAAUUUUUCCCAUGUUCCUGCUGCGAUGGAAUCAUUCCUUACUGCCUUCAUUUUGCAGCUUUUAAAUGGCAGGUUUUCUGAAAAGUCACCUACUUUAAAGACUUAGAUUCGGAGUUAUUUGGCUAGAAAUUAGGCAGGCUCUGCCCAACUUGUGUGCCAGGAUGUGGGAAUACUUGGCAGCGGACUUGAAAUUCCAAGGAAAAAUAACCUCUUUCCUUUGCACGAGGCAUGGCCAAGUUGCCAAAGGCGCGGGGGCAAGGAAGAACCCCCCUGCAGAAGAGGGUGUGAAGUCUCCAGCUUCCCCUUUCACCAGCCGUGCUGAUGACAGCCCCAGCAGCUGCUCAAUGUGGGUAUCUGCUCGGCCUGCUGCGACCUUGUGCGGAGGGCUUGAAAGAAGAGCGUGAAACAUCCAAACCACGACCAAGCUGCAACUGCCCAUGCUAAGAAGUGUGGCUGGUAGUAAGAAGUGUAGCGGGUGGGACUGCAGAUCCCUGCAGGGCUCGUCGAUGCCUCCAGCGAGCGCGUGCUGCAGCUCCUGGGGUGCUCAGGCCACCCCGACGCAGCGUGAUGGACCACAAACCCCAGC